AUCCUCUGCAGGGAGCACCCAAAUCUUCUCCAGAGAGCACCUGGACCCCCAAAUCCUCUGCAGGGAGCACCCAAAUCUUCUCCAGAGAGCACCUGAACCCCCAAACCCUCUGCAGGGAGCACCUGAACCCCCAAAUCCUCUCCAGGGAGCACCCAAAUCCUCUCUAGAGAGCACCAGAACCCCCAAAUCCUCUGCAGGGAGCACCCAAAUCCUCUCUAGAGAGCACCUGGACCCCCAAAUUCUCUCCAGGGAGCACCUGAAGUCCCUAAAUCCUCUCUAGAGAGCACCUGAACCCCCAAAUCCUCUGCAGGGAGCCCCUGCAGUCCCAGCCAGCGCUCUCUGGCUCUCCACAGCCCAGAUGUUCCAGCUGUGCCCUGCCAGCUCCCUGCUGCCACCGUGGCCCCGAGGUUUUUACAUUUCCUGUGGGGAAAGGGCCCAGCAGCCUCAGUCUGGGUUUAUUUCUUUUCUCUGUAGUUCUAUUUUUUAGGAAACCACUUUUGCAAAUCAGCCACCUGGGGAGGGAGGGAGGGAGGGAGGAGAAAUUCCUGCUUUUCCCCCCAUCCUGGGCCCUGCCAGGAGCAUCCCAAGGUGACCCCGAGUCCUUCCCACUGCUCCUCCAGAGGCAAAACUGCAGGAAAAGCCUGGGAGAGUGGAACAGAGCAGGUGAAAACCUUGGGGCAGGUGAAUUUGGGAAGUGGGACAUCCCUCAGGGCACGGCCUGGGCUUGGCAUCGCUCCUGGCCUCCGAGGGCUGCGGAUAAUUGGAAUUAAAUGGAGCAAAUCCCAGGUGCUCUUGGGGCUUUUUUUGGGCUUUUUUUUUUUUAAUUUUAAUUUUUUUUUUCCCCUUUUAUUUUUGGGAAGCGGCCCCUGGGGAUGUCCUGCUCCGUGUGACGGGGACAGGUCCCAGCUGGAUCCAAGGAGAGCAGGAGGAGUCGGGAACACGCUGGGAUCGGUGCCCUGAGGGGCCUGGGGGAGGGUGGGGAGUUACCCCAGAAAUUCAGGG
rnacentral:lncRNA from 1 species